UACAGAGGUCUCAAGCGUUGUUCGGAUUCAUUGGGCGUAAAGGGUGCGUAGGCGGCGCGGUAAGUCGGGUGUGAAAUCUCUGAGCUUAACUCAGAACGGCCAAGUGAUACUGCAGUGCUAGAGUGUGGAAGGGGCAAUCGGAAUUCUUGGUGUAGCGGUGAAAUGCGUAGAUAUCAAGAGGAACACCUGAGGUGAAGACGGGUUGCUGGGCCAACACUGACGCUGAGGCGCGAAAGCCAGGGGAGCAAACGGG
rnacentral:rRNA from 1 species